rfam:Rattus norvegicus chromosome 7, whole genome shotgun sequence.
GGGGAUUUAGCUCAGCAGUAGAGCACUUGCCUAGCAAGCACAAGGCCCUGGGUUCGGUCCCCAGCUCCG